rnacentral:rRNA from 1 species
AUUGAACGCUGGCGGCAGGCCUAACACAUGCAAGUCGAACGAGUGGCGGACGGGUGGGUAAUUUCUUGGAAACUGCCUGAUGGAGGGGGAUAACUCCUGGAAACGGUAGCUAAUGCCGCAUAACAUCAUAUGUGCCCCGGUGGGCUUAGGUUGUUGGUGGGGUAACGGCUCACCAAGGCGAAGAUCCCUAGCUGGGCUGAGAGGAUGACCAGCCACACUGGAACUGAGACACGGGCCAGACUCCUACGGGAGGCAGCAGUGGGGAAUAUUGGACAAUGGGCGCAAGCCUGAUGCAGCAAGGCCGCGUGUAUGAAGAAGGCUUUCGGGUUGUAAAGGACUUUCAGCGGGGAGGCGUUACCCGCAGAAGAAGCACCGGCUAACUCCGUGCCAGCAGCCGCGGUAAUAC